rnacentral:rRNA from 1 species
CCUACGGGUGGCAGCAGUGAGGAAUAUUGGUCAAUGGGCGCGAGCCUGAACCAGCCAAGUCGCGUGAGGGAGGACUGCCCUACGGGUUGUAAACCUCUUUUGCCUGGGAGCAAAGGGCGUCACGUGUGGCGCCACUCAUAGUACCCGGAGAAAAGGCAUCGGCAAACUCCGUCCCAGCAGCGGCGGUAAUACGUGGGAUGCGAGGGUUAUCCGGAUUUAUUGGGUUUAAGGGGUGCGUAGGCGGAUCGUUAAGUCAGUGGUCAAAUUGAGGGGCUCAACCCCUUCCCGCCAUUGAAACUGGCGCUCUUGAGUGGAAGAGAAGUAUGCGGAAUGCGUGGUGUAGCGGUGAAAUGCAUAGAUAUCACGCAGAACCCCGAUUGCGAAGGCAGCAUGCCGGCUUCCGACUGACGCUGAAGCACGAAAGCGUGGGGAUCGAACAGGAUUAGAUACCCCUGUAGUC